UUGCUCUCCUCUGGUUUUAUCGAUAAAUAUAGUUGAGUAUCAUCUGCAUAACAAUGAAAGUUUAUGGAGUGUUUCCUGAUAAUAUUGCCCAAAGGAAGCAUGUAUAAGGUAAAUAAAAUUGGUCCAAGCACAGAACCUUGUGGAACUCCGUGAUUAACGUUGGUGGUUAUCGAGGCGUCAUCGUUUACAAAUACAAACUGAGAUCGAUCUGAUAAAUAGGAUUUAAACCAAAUUAGUGCCGUGCCUGAAAUGCCAAUCGACUGCUCCAGUCUCUGUAACAGGAUGUCAUGGUCAAUGGUGUCGAAUGCAGCACUAAGGUCUAACAAGACCAGGACAGAGAGGAGUCCUUUAUCUGCUAACAUUAAGAGGUCAUUUGUAAUUUUCACCAGUGCUGUCUCGGUGCUGUGGUGUUUUCUAAAUCCUGAUUGAAAUUUCUCAAAUAAACUAUUAUGAUGUAGAAAGUCGCACAACUGAUUUGCGACCACUUUCUCAAGGAUCUUGGAGAGGAAGGGGAGGUUAGAGAUCGGUCUGUAGUUAGCCAACACCUCUGGAUCCAGAGUGGGCUUCUUCAGGAGAGGUUUAAUAACAGCCACUUUGAAGGAGUGUGGUACGUGGCCUGUUAGCAGAGACACAUUGAUAAUAUCUAAUAGAGAGCCGCCAAUUAAAGGCAAAACGUCUUUAAGCAGCCUCGUCGGGAUGGGGUCCAAGAGACAGGUAGACGUGUUCGAAGUAGAAACCGUUGAAGAUAAUUGGUCACGGUUGAUGGGAGAAAAGCCCUCCAAAUAUACACCAGGGCAUACAGCGGUUUCCAAGGUCAUUCCACUUGAGGACAGAUUGGCACUGGUUAUGGGCAAGAGAAUAUUAAUCUUGUCCCUCAUAGUUAAAAUCUUUUCAUUAAAAAAGUUCAUAAAGUCAUUACCACUGAGGUUUAUAGGAAUGCUCGGCUCCACAGAGCUGUGACUCUAUCAGCCUGGAGAGAAACCUGGGGUUGUUCUUAUUUUUCUCUAUUACUGAUGAGUAAUAG